ACCCAGGAUUAGAUACCCUAUUAUAUUUAAACAAAUUGGGUAGUAUUAUUAAUAAAAACCUUUAUACUUUGGCGGCAUUUUAUCUUAUUAGAGGAAUAUGUUCAUUAAUCGAAACCACACGAUAGUUUUUACUUACUAUAAAAUUUUAUAUACCCCCGUCUAAAGAAUUUAUUUAAAAUUUUUAUUCCAAAUUAUAUUAAAAAAAGUUAGGUAAAGGUGUAGACUAUUAGUAAGAUUAAAUGUAUUACAUUAAAAAAAAAUUUAAGGAUAAAACAGUUAACUGUUUAUUAAAAGAGGAUUUAUAAGUAAUUUACUUUUAAUAAAAAUUAAUGAAUAAGAAAAUAAAUGUGCACAUAUCGCCCGUCACUC
rnacentral:rRNA from 1 species